CCGGCGUGUCCAACGUCAGAGCAGGGUGACAGGGGCGGCUGAAGUGGUGCCUGAAGGACCCCAACAUCUGACCCGUCUGGGUGUUGUAGAAAGACAGACGGCCGUGCCGGUAGUCCAGCAGGGUGCUCACCUGCUCGGCCGCUUCCACCACACGGACGCUGGCCUGAGGGUGACUUGUCCAGGGUGUACCACGCCUUCCGCCCGAAUGCAGCUGGGAUAGGCUCCAGCAACGCCCACGACCCCAGAAAUGACAAGCGGUAGGAAAUGGAUGGACAUUUCCUUAUUUGGGGGGAACUUCCUAUGUGUGUGGCUGUAGGCGACUCCAAGUCUGUAAGCGGCACAUCCUGACACUGUCGUCUCCCAGUAGUGACGCCCUCUCGCUGGUAACAGCUCGCCUAAGAUGGACGGCGGCCUGGAAAAGAGCACACACGGACAGGGAAUAAAGGGAAACGCUUGUACAGGGACUGUGGAGGGAGGCGUGGCCUGCGGACCUGCCGCGGAACGGGGUGUGCAAGGACAGGCCUCGAAGACAGCGACAGCAGCAGCCGGGACGAGACACGGCAGUUGGAGUGGGAGCCAGAGAGAGAGAGACGGACUGAGGAAAAAGACAAUUUGCUGUAAAGCAAAAGACUAGCACGACUUAUAAAAUAAUAAAACAGUGUUGUACCCUGAAA